ACCAUUUCCAAUAUUUUGAGGGUAUUUUAGACCCUUUUUCCGGAUACAAAAGUAAUUACGAGAUUAUGAGGACAAGAGUAUGAGCGACCCAAGAUUGGCAACAUGACUCAGGUAACAAAAAUGCAUUACGAAUUCAUAACAUUACAUGUUACGUGUUCUCCUUUCGAGCUAUAAUCGCAAGGUAUGGGGCCUAUUGCCUAUAUUAUACGUAUGAGACACCGAUGGCCAUAAGUUGGCGAAAAUGAUGCCGGUUUGCAUCGGAAGACACCAUAAUUGCUAGCACUUAGUUGGAUAUGACAUCAAUUUGCAUCUAUAUAUAUGCAUUCACCACAUACGAUUAUGCGAGCAUAUCAUGCUUAUUAAUUAAUAUAAGGUAGGAUGUCAGCUAUGGAGGCUAUCAGAGUUUCUAUUUCAUGUGGUCCAAAUAAGGAUUCUAAUUAACCUCUCCACUAGGAUUUAUGAUUCAGCUAUCAGUUGCUCCACUUCAUAAGGUGUAGAAUGCCCACAGUUAAGCUAGUUGGUAGGUUUCAGUGGCUAACUCGAUUGCAUAAGGUGUAGAAUGCCAAUCACGCCUCCCCUAGUCCGGGGCGUGACAAUAUGUACACAAUUUAUAAAUUGUUUAAAAUACAACAAUUAGAAACCACAUAUAAACCAACAAAUAAUAUAUUCAAUUAAGAUCACAAAUGUCAUGUGGUGA